rnacentral:lncRNA from 1 species
AUCCAGUACAAAAGGAUCAUCGCUGAAACACAUGAACACAUAUAAAAAUAACAUAUACAAAACAAAACAACAAUAAAACAUAACAGCCAAUAAUUUUUACACUUAUAACAAGCAAGAGACAAAACUCACACUUCAAUAUUAUGCAAUUAUUCCCACUGAUGAAUGUCUAAUCAAAAUACAUUUGUCUAUAUAUAUAAGACAUCUGGUGAGAACAUCAGUCUCCGGACAGUUCAUACCAUGUUUUUAAAUUUAUCAAAAUUAUAAUGAGUAGAUUAAUUAAAAUAAAAUUAGCCCAGAUUGCGAGUGUUUUAAGAAUUUCAAGUAGACCGUUGAAGGAAACUACCUGAUCCAUAACCAAAAUGUGAUGAAAAAAUU